UUUAAAUGUGGAAAAAAAAAGAAAAAAAAAUGGAAAUUAAGUGUAAAUAUAAAUAUAUAUAUUUAUAUAUUAAAUAGUUUUAUUAAAUUAAUUAAAGAAAAGAAAGAAAAGAAAGGACAAAAAGAAGAAAAGGAGAAGAAAAUUUCAUUUUCUCUUUUCUUCUUCUUCUUCUCUUCCCUUCACCGCCAAGUUUGAAGACAUCCAAGUUCCCUUUAUUUUUUUUGUUCUUUUUCCUUCUUCAAUUUUCAGAGAACUUCUAAGAGAGAGUUUGGAAGAAGAAGAGAAAUUUUACUAGAAUUUUUAGGUUGAAGAAGAGGAGGAGAACUCAAGCAAAGUGUAUCAAUGGCUGAAUUUUAGUUCAUUCUGCACAUCACUGGUUUUUAAUUCGGUUUGAACUCUUCAAAAGGAAUUAAGAGAAAACAGGGCAGUUGGUUUUCACUCGAAAUCAGGAGGUCUCUGGUUUUUCUUGUAUUUCAGAGUGUAUCGGUGGAGUUAGAAUUUCUAUUUGGUAUGGUUGGAAAGCUUAUUCAAUUUACUACAACUUUCAUGAAGAAAUUGUAAACCAAAAACGACUAAAAAUUGGUUAAAUUGUAGGAACAAGUUAAAGAGGUCGUGUGCGCGCGAUUCUGGAAGUGGUUCUGUUUUGAGGGUUAUAUGUGUUUAUGCACGGGGAAUCAGAUUUAUAUGUCUUCAGGCCAAGAAGAAUUAAACCGAGCUUAUAGACCAAGGAUCUAGCCCAAGACUGUAGAGAUCGACUUCCCGGUGCCUGAUAGACUGCCUUAGUCUGCGGAAGCUUCAUUAUCGAUUGCCAGUACGUGUUUUGAGUUGGGCAUAAAGUCUGUUGUGUUGUGAUGUAUUCACACCCUUGUAUGUUAUAGAUACUCCACAGUUUGUAUAAGCUUUAGGAGCUGUAGUUGUGUAAAUUUUGUUGGUUAUAUUUUGAUUAAGGUGUCUUUAGGUUUACUCGUGAAAUUGGUAAAUUUUGAGGUACACUUCAUGUAUGUGUUUGACUAGCUGUGUUUGACUAGCCUAGGAUCCGAUGUGUUUUGUGGCAUGUACAAUAGUUUAUAUACUAGAUUGGCAAGUUCAUCACAUGAAAGUUUUAAGCAGAGUCGACAGAUACAGGUACAGAAUAACGUUGUACGUCGGCUUCACGCCAUCUUUCGGUCUAAGGUAGCAGGUAGUCCGGGAGGGGGUGUGACAUGUCUACAAUUUAUCUUUUUAAUUCCAUCGUUUAAUUUUGUUACUCGAUCGUUUAGAUUUGGGUGGGGACCCAAAUCUAAAUGAUUUUUUUAUAAAUUUAGUACACGAUUUUUUUAA